rnacentral:snRNA from 1 species
AGAGAAUGGCGCGAACCCAGGUGGCAGAGCUUGCAGUGAGCCGAGAUCGCGCCACUGCACUCCAGCCUGGGUGACAGGG